CACGUAGGGCGCAAGCGUUGUCCGGAAUUAUUGGGCGUAAAGAGCUCGUAGGCGGUUUGUCGCGUCUGCUGUGAAAACCCGAGGCUCAACCUCGGGCCUGCAGUGGAUACGGGCAGACUAGAGGUAGGUAGGGGAGAAUGGAAUUCCCGGUGUAGCGGUGAAAUGCGCAGAUAUCAGGAAGAACACCCGUGGCGAAGGCGGCUCUCUGGGACGGUACUGACGCUGAGACGCGAAAGCGUGGGGAGCGAACAGG
rnacentral:rRNA from 1 species